CCUACGGGUGGCAGCCGUGGGGAAUAUUGCACAAUGGGGGAAACCCUGAUGCAGCAACGCCGCGUGAAGGAAGAAGGGCUUCGGAUUGUAAACCUCUGUUCUCAGUGAGGAAAAAUGACGGUAGCUAAGGAGAAAGCGACGCCUAACUACGUGCCAGCAGCCGCGGUAAUACUUAGGUGGCAAGCGUUGUCCGGAAUUACGGGGUGUAAAGGGAGCGCAGGCGGGAAGCCAAGUCAGCUGGGAAAACUACGCGCUUAACUUGUAGACUGCAGUUGAAACUGGUUUGAUUGAGUGAAGUAGAGGUUGGCGGAAUUCCGAGUGUAGCGGUGAAAUGCGUAGAUAUUAGGAGGAACACCGGUGGCGAAGGCGGCCAACUGGGCUUUAACUGACGCUGAGGCUCGAAAGUGUGGGGAGCAAACAGGAUUAUAUACCCGGGUAGUC
rnacentral:rRNA from 1 species